rnacentral:rRNA from 1 species
AACGUAGGACGCGAGCGUUAUCCGGAGUUACUGGGCGUAAAGCGCGGGCAGGCGGUCUGACAAGUCUGAUGUGAAAUCUCCGGGCUUAACCGGGAGAGGCCAUUGGAAACUGACAGGCUGGAGGGCAGUAGAGGUAGGCGGAAUUCCGGGUGGAGUGGUGAAAUGCGUAGAGAUCCGGAGGAACACCAGAGGCGAAGGCGGCCUACUGGGCUGCACCUGACGCUGAGGCACGAAAGCGUGGGGAGCAAACAGG